CAGGCUGGUCUCAAACUCCCAACCUCACGUGAUCUGCCCCACCUCGGCCUCCCAAAGUGCUGAGAUUACAGGCAUGAGCCACUGUGCCCAGCCUGAAUCUUUUUAUGUUUAUUGUCUGUGGAUUUUGUUUCAUUCUUACGAAUGCCCUCCUUAUUCCAUGACUAUAAAAUAUUUGCUAAUGGUUUCCUGUGGUAUGGUUUGAGUUUUCUUUUUUUCAUUUAAAUGUUUGAUGUUCCUGAGGUGUGAUUCGAUUUAGGUUGUUAGGUAUAGUUCAAAUGAAUUUUUAUUAUUUUUAUUAUUUUACAUAUAUAUUUAAGUCUAAUUUUACUGUUUUUUGUUGUUGUUAUUGUUGUUGUUGUUGUUGGAGACAGAGCCUCACUCUGCCACCCAAGCUGGAGUGCAGUGGUGUGAUCAUAGCUCACUGCAGCCUCAAAUUCCUGGGCUCCAGUUAUCUUCCCACCUCAGUCUCCUGAGCAGCUGGGACUACAGGCAUGUGGACCACUAUGCCUGGCCAAUUUUUUAAUUUUUAUUUUUGUGGAAACAAGGUCUCACCGUCUUGCCCAAGCUGAUCUCAAGCUCCUUGGCUCAAGCGAUCCUCCCUCUUUGGCCUCCCAAAGUGCUGGGAUUACAGGUGUGACCUAUUGCACCUGGCCUCAAAUGGAUUUUUAAUAGGUUAACCUGUUUAUUCCAAUGGUAAUUCAAUCCUUGAUUGAGUAAUCCGCCUUUUCCACAGUAAUCUGAAUUGUCCCCUUUAUUAAAUAUUAAAUUUCUAUGCAUAUAUGUGGGUGUAUUUUUGGUUUUCUGUUCUAUUUCAUUGAUUGGUUUUUUCAUGCAUUAAUAAAACUGCAGCCUUUUAUUUAUUGAAGUAUUGUGCUAUUUAGUACAUGGAUAGGACUAAGCCUUUUUCAUGCGUGUUUUUUGUAGAGCUUGUAGUUUAGGAAUCAUUUUAAAAUUUUUAUAUGGUUUAACCCGGGAGGCAGAGGUUGCAGUGAGCUGAGAUUUUGCCACUACACUCCAACCUGGGCAACAGAGCGAGACUCCAUUCCAAAAAAAUAAGAAAAAGAAAAACAGAAAAAUAAUAAUUACAUCUGCAAAGACCUUAUUUCCAGCAGGCAAGAAGAACCUGUUGGAUGAUUCCAACAUUGCUGGAUUGAUAGCAGCCUCAUCUGCCAGGCUCAAACUCCAG
rnacentral:antisense_RNA from 1 species